rnacentral:rRNA from 1 species
AGUGAACGCUGGCGGUAGGCCUAACACAUGCAAGUCGAACGGCAGCAGAGUAAUAGCUCGCUGUUACGGGGGCGGAGGGGCGGGCGAGGCCGGAAAAUAUCCGAGUCUGUGGUUGCGUGGGUGCGGACGCGGGCGAAAUUACGCUAAUCCCGCUGACGACGUACGGGUGGAAGCUUGGGAUCUUCGGACCUCGCGUGAUCGAAUGAGCCGAUGUCGGAUUAGCUAGUUGGUGGGGUAAAGGCCCACCAAGGCGACGAUCCGUAGCUGGUCUGAGAGGAUGAUCAGCCACACUGGAACUGAGACACGGUCCAGACUCCUACGGGAGGCAGCAGUGGGGAAUAUUGGACAAUGGGCGCAAGCCUGAUCCAGCCAUGCCGCGUGUGUGAAGAAGGUCUUCGGGUUGUAAAGCACUUUAGGUUGGGAGGAAAAGCAGUAGGUUAAUACCUUGCUGUUUUGACGGUACCAACAGAAUAAGCACCGGCUAACUUCGUG